rnacentral:rRNA from 1 species
AACGCGAAGAACCUUACCUGGAUUUGACAUCCCUGGACCGCUCUAGAGAUAGAGUUUCCCCUUCGGGGGCCAGGAGACAGGUGCUGCAUGGCUGUCGUCAGCUCGUAUCGUGAGAUGUCGGGUUAAGUCCCUUAACGAGCGCAACCCCUAUCCCUAGUUGCCAGCAUUUAGUUGGGCACUCUAUGGAGACUGCCGGUGUUAAACCGGAGGAAGGCGGGGAUGACGUCAAGUCCUCAUGGCCCUUAUAUCCAGGGCGACACACGUGCUACAAUGGCCGGUACAAAGGGUUGCCAACCUGUAAAGGGGAGCUAAUCUCAGAAAGCCGGUCUCAGUUCGGAUUGAAGUCUGCAAUUCGACUUCAUGAAGCUGGAAUCGCUAGUAAUCGCGGAUCAGAACGCCGCGGUGAAUACGUUCCCGGGCCUUGUACACACCGCUACAGU